rnacentral:rRNA from 1 species
ACCAGGGGAACUGAAACAUCUAAGUACCCUGAGGAAGAGAAAACAAUAGUGAUUCCGUCAGUAGCGGCGAGCGAACGCGGAUUAGCCCAAACCAAGGAGCUUGCUCCUUGGGGUUGUGGGACGUCUCACAUGGAGUUACAAAGGAACCGGUUAGAUGAAGAGGUCUGGAAAGGCCCGCCAGAGAAGGUAAAAGCCCUGUAGUUCAAAACCUGUUCCCUCCGAGACGGAUCCCGAGUAGUGCGGGGCACGUGAAACCCCGUAUGAAUCCGGCAGGACCAUCUGCCAAGGCUAAAUACUCCCUGGCGACCGAUAGUGAAGCAGUACCGUGAGGGAAAGGUGAAAAGCACCCCGGAAGGGGAGUGAAAUAGAUCCUGAAACCGUGUGCUUACAAGAAGUCAGAGCCC